GGUUCGAAUCCCGGUAAGGGCAUUUAUUUGUGUGAUGAACACUAAUAUUUGUUCCGGAGUCAUGGAUGUUUUCUAUGUAUAUAAGUAUGUAUUUAUCUAUAUAAGUAUGUAUAUCGUCGCCUAGCACCCAUAGUACAAGCUUUGCUUAGUUUGGGGCUAGGUUGAUCUGUGUAAGAUGUCCCCUGAUAUUUAUUUUAUUUAUUUAUUUAAAAGCGGUGGUGGCCGAGUGGAUAUGACGCCCGACUUUCAAUCCGGAGGUCACGGGUUCAAAUCCUGGCUCGUACCAAUGAGUUUUUCGGAACUUAUGUACGAAAUAUCAUUUGAUAUUUACCACUAGCUUUUCGGUGAAGGAAAAUAUCGUGAGGAAACCUGCAUACAUCUGCGAAGAAAUUCAAAGGUGUAUGUGAAUCCCCAAUCCGCAUUGGGCUAGCGUGGGGACUCUAGCCCGAGCCCUCUCGCACAUGAGAGGAGGCCUGUGCCCAGCAGUGGGACGUAUAAAGGCUGAAUUAUUAUUAUUUUUAUUUAUUUAAUGU